AUUGAACGCUGGCGGCAGGCCUAACACAUGCAAGUCGAACGAGUGGCGGACGGGUGCGUAAUGUCUGGGAAACUGCCUGAAGGAGGGGGAUAACUACUGGAAAAGGUAGCUAAUACCGCAUACCAUCAGAUGUGCCCAGAUUGGAUUAGCUGGUAGGUGGGGUAACGGCUCACCUAUGCGACGAUCCCUAGCUGGUCUGAGAGGAUGACCAGCCAAACGGGAACUGAGACACGGUCCAGACUCCUACGGGAGGCAGAAGUGGGGAAUAUUGCACAAUGGGCGCAAGCCUGAUGCAGCCAGGCCGCGUGUGUGAAGAAGGCCUUCGGGUUGUAAAGCACUUUCAGCGGGGAGGCGUUACCCGCAGAAGAAGCACCGGCUAACGCCGUGCCAGCCGCCGCGGUAAUAC
rnacentral:rRNA from 1 species